CUAGCCGUAAACGAUGGGUACUAGGUGUGGGGGGUGUCAACUCCUCCCGUGCCGGCGCUAACGCAAUAAGUACCCCGCCUGGGGAGUACGGCCGCAAGGUUGAAACUCAAAGGAAUUGACGGGGGCCCGCACAAGCGGUGGAGUAUGUGGUUUAAUUCGACGCAACGCGAAGAACCUUACCAGGGUUUGACAUCCACUGAAUACCUAAGAGAUUAGGUCGGCCCCUUCGGGGGACAGUGAGACAGGUGG
rnacentral:rRNA from 1 species